CCGCCGACCUGUUGCAUGCCCUAAUUAAUUAAAGUUUCGCUCCCGCUCCCAACAACGCCGCUCGCCCUAAUUAAUUAAUUAACAUUCUUCUCUUCGCCUCGCGCUUCUUCUCCCAACAACGCCGGCCUCACCGCUCACUCGCCGGCCUCAUGCUUGGUGUUGCCGCCGGCCUCAAACCUCCGUCGUGUCGCUGAUCUCGUGCUCGCCGACGUCGCCCCAAAACUCCCCGACAUCGCUGCCGCCGUCGCCCAAACCUCCGACGUGUCGCUGAUUUCGCCAACACCCUCGCCCCGACACUAUUGCCCAAUAUUUGGUUGGCUUCUCUACUACUUCUAUUUUGAUUUUAUUAUUUAAUUUAUUUUUCUGUUUUUUUUUGGACUCUUAAAGAGAAAAGGUAAAGUGCACAGAAAAAAUACAGUUAAAUUGAAAAAUAGUUUUAAAAAG
rnacentral:lncRNA from 1 species